AACGAACGCUGGUGGCAUGCCUAAUACAUGCAAGUCGAACGAGAAAGCACUUCGGUGUGAGUACAGUGGCGCACGGGUGAGUAACGCGUAGGUGAUAUGCCUAUUAGUGGGGGACAACAGUUGGAAACGACUGCUAAUACCGCAUAAGCUUGGUGACAUUGAAAAAACCAAGGAAAGGGGGCUUCGGCUCUCGCUAGUAGAUUGGCCUGCGUAGCAUUAGCUUGUUGGUGGGGUAAUGGCCUACCAAGGCGACGAUGCUUAACUGGUCUGAGAGGAUGAUCAGUCACACUGGAACUGGGACACGGUCCAGACUCCUACGGGAGGCAGCAGUAGGGAAUAUUGCGCAAUGGGGGAAACCCUGACGCAGCAAUGCCACGUGAGUGAGGAAUGCCUUCGGGUUGUAAAGCUCUGUCCUAUAGGAAGAACUGCAUUAUGGUUAAUACCCAUAGUGUUUGACGGUACUAUAGAAGAAAGCACCGGCUAACUCCGUG
rnacentral:rRNA from 1 species